rnacentral:rRNA from 1 species
GUAGAAUGAACCGGCGAGUUACGAUUUGUUGCAAGGUUAAGCGGAAAAAGCGGAGCCGUAGCGAAAGCGAGUCUGAAUAGGGCGCAUAAGUAACAGGUCGUAGACCCGAAACCAGGUGAUCUACCCAUGUCCAGGAUGAAGGUAAGGUAAUACUUACUGGAGGUCCGAACCCACGCACGUUGAAAAGUGCGGGGAUGAGGUGUGGGUAGCGGAGAAAUUCCAAUCGAACUUGGAGAUAGCUGGUUCUCUCCGAAAUAGCUUUAGGGCUAGCCUCGAGGUAAAGAGUCAUGGAGGUAGAGCACUGUUUGGACUAGGGGCCCUUCUCGGGUUACCGAAUUCAGAUAAACUCCGAAUGCCAUGUACUUAUACUCGGGAGUCAGACUGCGAGUGAUAAGAUCCGUAGUCGAAAGGGAAACAGCCCAGACCACCAGUUAAGGUCCCCAAAUAUAUGUUAAGUGGAAAAGGAUGUGGGGUUGCUUAGACAACCAGGAUGUUGGCUUAGAAGCAGCCACCAUUGAAAGAGUGCGUAAUAGCUCACUGGUCGAGUGACCCCGCGCCGAAAAUGUACCGGGGCUAAACAUAUUACCGAAACUGUGGAUGAACCUCUUUAGAGGUUCGUGGUAGGAGAGCGUUCUAAGGGCGGUGAAGUCAGACCGGAAGGACUGGUGGAGCGCUUAGAAGUGAGAAUGCCGGUAUGAGUAGCGAAAGAAGGGUGAGAAUCCCUUCCACCGAAUAUCUAAGGUUUCCUGAGGAAGGCUCGUCCGCUCAGGGUUAGUCGGGACCUAAGCCGAGGCCGAUAGGCGUAGGCGAUGGACAACAGGUAGAGAUUCCUGUACCAGUGCUAAUUGUUUAACCGAUGGGGUGACACAGAAGGAUAGGGAAUCGCACGAAUGGAAAUGUGCGUCCAAGCAGUGAGUGUGAGAA